rnacentral:rRNA from 1 species
GGAGGGAUCAUUACACAAAUAUGAAGGCGGGCUGGAACCUCUCGGGGUUACAGCCUUGCUGAAUUAUUCACCCUUGUCUUUUGCGUACUUCUUGUUUCCUUGGUGGGUUCGCCCACCACUAGGACAAACAUAAACCUUUUGUAAUUGCAAUCAGCGUCAGUAACAAAUUAAUAAUUACAACUUUCAACAACGGAUCUCUUGGUUCUGGCAUCGAUGAAGAACGCAGCGAAAUGCGAUAAGUAGUGUGAAUUGCAGAAUUCAGUGAAUCAUCGAAUCUUUGAACGCACAUUGCGCCCUUUGGUAUUCCAAAGGGCAUGCCUGUUCGAGCGUCAUUUGUACCCUCAAGCUUUGCUUGGUGUUGGGCGUCUUGUCUCUAGCUUUGCUGGAGACUCGCCUUAAAGUAAUUGGCAGCCGGCCUACUGGUUUCGGAGCGCAGCACAAGUCGCACUCUCUAUCAGCAAAGGUCUAGCAUCCAUUAAGCCUUUUUUCAACUUUUGACCUCGGAUCAGGUAGGGAUACCCGCUGAACUUAAGC